UACGUAGGGUGCGAGCGUUGUCCGGAAUUACUGGGCGUAAAGAGCUCGUAGGUGGUUUGUCGCGUUGUCCGUGAAAACUCACAGCUUAACUGUGGGCGUGCGGGCGAUACGGGCAGACUGGAGUACUGCAGGGGAGACUGGAAUUCCUGGUGUAGCGGUGGAAUGCGUAGAGAUCCGGAAGAACACCGGUGGCGAAGGCGGUGAGCUGGGCAGUUGCUGACACUGAGGCGCGACAGCGUGGGGAGCAAACAGG
rnacentral:rRNA from 1 species